UGGGGAAUUUUGCGCAAUGGGGGAAACCCUGACGCAGCGACACCGCGUGAGCGAAGAAGCCUUUUGGGGUGUAAAGCUCUGUCGGCUGGGAAGAAAAAAAUGACUGUACCAGCAGAGGAAGCAUCGGCUAACUACGUGCCAGCAGCCGCGGUAAGACGUAGGAUGCAAGCGUUGUCCGGAUUUAUUGGGCGUAAAGAGUUCGUAGGCGGUUUUUUAAGUCUGGAGUUAAAGAUCAAGGCUCAACCUUGGGACUGCUUUGGAUACUGAAAGACUAGAGUGCAGUAGGGGCAAGUGGAAUUUCCAGUGUAGCGGUGAAAUGCGUAGAUACUGGAAAGAACACCAGUGGCGUAGGCGGCUUGCUGGGCUGUAACUGACGCUGAGGAACGAAAGCUAGGGGAGCAAAUGGG
rnacentral:rRNA from 1 species